CCUACGGGAGGCAGCAGUGAGGAAUAUUGGUCAAUGGACGAGAGUCUGAACCAGCCAAGUAGCGUGAAGGAUGACUGCCCUAUGGGUUGUAAACUUCUUUUAUAUGGGAAUAAAAUGUUCCACGUGUGGGAUUUUGUAUGUACCAUAUGAAUAAGCAUCGGCUAACUCCGUGCCAGCAGCCGCGGUAAUACGGAGGAUCCGAGCGUUAUCCGGAUUUAUUGGGUUUAAAGGGUGCGUAGGUGGAUUGUUAAGUCAGUUGUGAAAGUUUGGGGCUCAACCGUAAAAUUGCAGUUGAAACUGGAAGUCUUGAGUGCAGUAGAGGUGGGCGGAAUGCGUGGUGUAGCGGUGAAAUGCUUAGAUAUCACGAAGAACUCCGAUUGCGAAGGCAGCUCACUGGACUGCAACUGACACUGAGGCUCGAAAGUGUGGGUAUCAAACAGGAUUAGAUACCCGGGUAGUC
rnacentral:rRNA from 1 species